GAUGAACGCUGGCGGCGUGCCUAAUACAUGCAAGUCGAGCGAACAGACGAGGAGCUUGCUCCUCUGACGUUAGCGGCGGACGGGUGAGUAACACGUGGAUAACCUACCUAUAAGACUGGGAUAACUUCGGGAAACCGGAGCUAAUACCGGAUAAUAUAUUGAACCGCAUGGUUCAAUAGUGAAAGACGGUUUUGCUGUCACUUAUAGAUGGAUCCGCGCCGCAUUAGCUAGUUGGUAAGGUAACGGCUUACCAAGGCAACGAUGCGUAGCCGACCUGAGAGGGUGAUCGGCCACACUAGAACUGAGACACGGUCCAGACUCCUACGGGAGGCAGCAGUAGGGAAUCUUCCGCAAAGGGCGAAAGCCUGACGGAGCAACGCCGCGUGAGUGAUGAAGGUCUUCGGAUCGUAAAACUCUGUUAUUAGGGAAGAACAAAUGUGUAAGUAACUAUGCACGUCUUGACGGUACCUAAUCAGAAAGCCACGGCCAACUACGUG
rnacentral:rRNA from 1 species